rnacentral:lncRNA from 1 species
UUUUAGUGUGUUGUCUUGCAGAACAGGUACAGCCUGGAAAGAAAAACAAAAAACAACAAACAAACAAACAAACAAAAAAAACACAAACUGUGCAUGCUGCCUUAAGGUUGUUGUGUGGUGUGCUUUGCUGCUCAAACCUGCCUUUUCACUGGUAGUAAAUCCUAGCACAAGUUAAUGAUAAAUAUUAGUGUACUCUUUAGAUGGAUGCUUAUGAAACAUACAGAAUUGCUAUAUCAUGUACUUUUGAGAUGAUUAUUCCUUGUUUCCUUGCUUGCUUUCAAUUCCGCAUGCAUGGAAUAUUGCUUUCUUAAUAAUUGUUUGCAACCUGGUCUACCUGUAAGGGGAAAAAGUCUUCAGCACCUUCCGUACACGAACUCCACCAGAGAAAGAUGUCAGGGAAAGUCUUGCUGUCGUGUUUUAUUCCCUGCUGUUAUUUUACAUCAUUUUGAAUGACUGAAAACCACCUGGAUCAGAUUAGUUUGGUUUACCGCCACUUUAAAAACGAACCUAUAUGCCUGUUUCAGUUGAAACUAAUCUGACUGGAUGCCAUUCAGCAUAAAGUAAUGGUUUCCUGGUUGCAAUAUAAAUUGAUGCUGUAUGUAUUUCUGUCCUUAUAAUUUCCUUGAUUUUUUUAAAAAUUAUUUUUGGCUUGAUUUGUCCUUGUAUUCCUAGCCUAGCUUUGCUCUCCCUUUUUUUGCUACUAACUUAACCAACUCUUACCGUUUCCAUUCACUCCAGUCAGAACUUUAUUAGUUCAGCAUUCAAUUAAAUCUCUUGUUGUAUGGAGCUGCAUCAUCCCUUGUUUGACCGAACAAACCAAGCAUCCUGCUGAUUUUCAUUCCGUUCUUUACUUAGCUGAUCCUUCUGAAUGCAUUCUUAAGUAUAUCUCCACUGUACUUAGCUAAAUCAUUGUAUUCUUUUUAACAGUUCUGCAAAUGGAUUUUCCUAGUCCGAAACAACAAGAAUGGGUUACCCUCAUUUUCCCCAGAAAGCCUUUCCAAAUUUCUUUGGAAAAAAAGAUUGCUAAUGAGAAGGACUUCAAGAACAUACUGCAUAAGAAUUUUUUCUCUUUUUCUUCCAAAUGGAUCAUUAUUUGUAAAUUCCUCCUACGUGUGAUAGUGCUGAAGUUUACCUGAGUGUUAAUACUUUUUUGUUUGUCCGUAUGAGUGAAGAUUAAUUUUCUUCUUAGAGUAAGCUUGUAAUGCUGAGACCAGUAGAUGUCUUUGAAUAUCACCUCACCUGACUCGUGGUAUUUUUUAAUGUUUUUGAUGAUAGAAUUUACAUAUUUUAAAUUCCAGGAUCAUCUGUAGAAUUCAUGUUAGCACAGUAGACUAACUCAGUUUCUUACCUUUCUCUGGCAAAGAUUGGAAUAUUACAGUUAACAAAUCUAUCUAUGGUAGUUGAUGAACUGGAUUCUAGUUUUUGUCAGCAACUGGGCGAAAAAAAAAUGGGGGCAUGUACUCUUCAAAACUCACUUUAGUUAUAAAGAUCUACAGUAGACUUGUGUACUUUUAUUUUGGCCUUUCACAUGCAGAGAGGGUAAAAUCAUCUUUAAAGUUACGAACACAAUUUGUUCAAGAUUUUUUUUAACUAAUGUGCACACGAUUUUCUAUGUUGGAGUUUCAUAUAAGAUUUUUGAUAGUAAUUUGAUGGGUAAAUAUUUUCUUCAAAAAAGAUAUUUUCAUAUGACCUAGCAUAUACUUUCCUUAAAAAGGAAAGAGAAAAAGCAAACCAGUAUUUACAAUUCCUCAUGAUAAACUAUGGAGAUUAUUUGAAAUGCACAAUUUUAUUUACAGACCUCAAAAUGUGAAUGGUAUAGAUGACUAUUUCACAGUUACUACAGUGUAAUUUCUGCUUUUUAGGCUUAGUGUUUUUCUAAAUGCAAAGGAAAACUUCUCCAAAAUGUUUUCCUAAUGAUCAGUAGCUAAAUAGAUCUUUUUUUAUUUUUUUAUUUUUAUUUUACUCUAAGGCAUACUAAGUCUUCUGUCAGUGAAAUACAUGGACGUGAAAUACAUGGACAGAAGACUUAGUAUGCCUUAGAGUAAAUUUCUAGGGAAAUUAAAAAAGUUUUUUUGUUUUUUUUUUUUUUAGGUUUUAAAAGUCGUAAUUCAUUCUUCAUCUUGUACGGACUUCUGUGCAAUAAAGAUGUUUGCACUACAUUGUUUUCUCUUUGU